rnacentral:rRNA from 1 species
GUUGAAGACUACGACGUUGAUAGGUCGGGUGUGUAAGCGCAGCGAUGCGUUGAGCUAACCGAUACUAAUGAACCGUGAGGCUUAACCUU